rnacentral:siRNA from 1 species
GGUUAGCGACAACAGUUGAGGGCA